AGUGAACGCUGGCGGUAGGCCUAACACAUGCAAGUCGAACGGCAGCACAGUAAGAGCUUGCUCUUACGGGUGGCGAGUGGCGGACGGGUGAGGAAUACAUCGGAAUCUACUUUUUCGUGGGGGAUAACGUAGGGAAACUUACGCUAAUACCGCAUACGACCUACGGGUGAAAGCAGGGGAUCUUCGGACCUUGCGCGAUUGAAUGAGCCGAUGUCGGAUUAGCUAGUUGGCGGGGUAAAGGCCCACCAAGGCGACGAUCCGUAGCUGGUCUGAGAGGAUGAUCAGCCACACUGGAACUGAGACACGGUCCAGAAUCCUACGGGAGGCAGCAGUGGGGAAUAUUGGACAAUGGGCGCAAGCCUGAUCCAGCCAUACCGCGUGGGUGAAGAAGGCCUUCGGGUUGUAAAGCCCUUUUGUUGGGAAAGAAAAGCAGCAGGUUAAUACCCCGCUGUUCUGACGGGACCCAAAGAAUAAGCACCAGCUAACUUCGU
rnacentral:rRNA from 1 species